AAUCCAGAUUGUACAUUUUUCAAGAAGACCGACUAAUUUUGAGUAUGACAUUUAGCACAACAAUCAAUUCCAUUCAACAUGAUGGCCAUGUGAGGUGCUGUCGGAAACCCCGCUUAUCAAAUACGUGCGCGCGACUGGCGGUUGGAGAGGAGGCCGCGUCGAUUGCCCUCGCUGUCAAUUCGCCAGUGUGCAAACCAAAAUAAACAAGAACCCCACUUAGGAACACUCCAUUUGUUAUAUUGUGACAAUUUCAAUUUUCAGUUAUACUAGGCUUUGUGGAUCGGAGAAUGGCAGCUAAGGUGAAUGGCAGUUCAGCUCUGGUUAAAGAGGACGAGGAGCCCAUGGACAUAACUGUAACACACACAGAGCUCUACCAGACCCUCAUAGACGCAGGCCUUCCACAGAAAGUGGCGGAGAGCCUGGAUAAGAUAUUUCAGACUGGACUGGUGGCUUACACUGACCUGGACGAGAGAGCCAUUGACGCCCUCAGGGAGUUCAAUGAGGAGGGAGCCUUGUCAGUGUUACUGCAGUUCAAGGAGAGUGACCUGUCACAUGUGCAGAACAAAAGUGCGUUUCUCUGUGGCGUGAUGAAGACAUACAGACAGCGAGAAAAGCAAGGAAGUAAAGUUCAAGAAUCCACAAAGGGACCUGAUGAGACUAAGAUAAAGGCUCUUCUGGAAAGAACAGGUUACACUUUGGAUGUCACCACAGGACAGAGGAAGUAUGGGGGGCCUCCACCUGACGAGGUGUACUCAAGGGCCCAGCCUGGAAUCGGAACAGAGGUAUUUGUCGGCAAGAUCCCCAGGGACCUGUAUGAGGAUGAGCUGGUCCCUCUGUUUGAGAAAGCCGGUCCUAUUUGGGACCUGCGUCUGAUGAUGGACCCCCUUCUCUCGGGUCAGAACAGAGGAUAUGCCUUCAUCACCUUCUGCAAUAAAGAUGCUGCCCUAGAGGCCGUCAAGCUUUGUGAUAAUUAUGAAAUCCGGUCAGGUAAAUACCUGGGUGUCUGCAUCUCUGUCGCAAACAAUCGUCUGUUUGUUGGGUCAAUUCCAAAGAACAAGACAAGAGAAAGCAUAUUGGAAGAUUUCAGCAAAGUCACAGAGAGCCUCAUGGAGGUGAUACUCUACCACCAGCCAGAUGACAAAAAGAAAAAUCGUGGCUUCUGUUUCUUGGAAUACGAGGACCACAAGUCUGCAGCCCAGGCCCGUCGGCGCCUCAUGAGCGGCAAGGUGAAGGUGUGGGGGAACCCUGUUACUGUUGAGUGGGCAGACCCAGUAGACGAACCGGAUCCAGAGAUUAUGGCAAAGGUAAAAGUGCUGUUUGUGAGGAACCUGGCCACACCAGUCACAGAGGAACUCCUGGAGAAAACCUUCUCCCAGUUUGGGAAGUUGGAACGGGUCAAGAAGCUGAAAGAUUAUGCCUUUGUGCACUUUGAGGACAGAGAUGCUGCCGUGAAGGCAAUGCAAGAAAUGAAUGGCAAAGAAUUGGAAGGCGAGGAGAUAGAGAUUGUUCUGGCAAAGCCUCCGGACAAGAAGAGGAAAGAGCGGCAGGCCCAGAGACAGCCAUCCAGGACCACAGGGUAUGAUGAUUACUACUACUACUAUCCUGCUCCACGCAUGGCACCUCAAAUGCGUGGCAGGGGGAGAGGCGGGAGAGGUGGAUAUUCAUACCCACCGGACUACUACGGUUAUGAGGAUUACUACGAUGAUUACUACAGCGGUGGUUACGACUACCAUGACUACAGAGGUGGCUACGACGACCCUUACUAUGGUGGUUACGAUGACGUCUACGUGCCGAGAGGAAGGGGCAGGGUGAAUCGAGGUGCUCCCCGCCCUGCCAGAGGCCGAGGACCACCACCCCCUCGUGGCAGAGGUGGCUACGUCCAAAGGGGUGCUCCUAUGGGCGUACCGAGGGGGAGCCGUGGGGGCCGGGGAGGCCCGCCCCAGCUGCAGAGGGGCCGUGGCAUCAGAGGGGCCAGGGGGAACCGUGGGGGCAACGUGGGCGGGAAGAGGAAGGCUGACGGUUACAACCAACCAGACUCCAAGCGCCGGCAGACCAACAACCAGAACUGGGGCUCCCAACCCAUUGCCCAGCAACCCCUGCAACAAGGUGGCGACUAUUCUGGUGAAGACGCGAGAACGGCAGCGGUUGAGUGAGUGUGGAACACAUCUAUUCUCUGCUGUGUUCUUCCCCAAAGAAGGGGUGCGUGUCAGAGGUGGCCCCGACCCAGUCUUGUCACGAUGUGGACUUGCUAGGUGGGGCUCGCAGUCAGAGGCAGCUGUGAGGACUAUGGGGGUAAGUUUAGGACGUUUUCUUCCUAAACCGUUCUCUUUCACUGUUUUUCUUACACUUCCCAUUAUUCAGGUUUCAACAAAUUCCUGUGGGGAUUAAGAUCCUGAAAGCAGAAGUCAGUUUCUGGGUGAGAUCUGCACCUCGACACAAUCCUGUCUCGGAGCCUUACAGACAAUUCCUUUGACCUCAGGUGGACUCCAAUCAAGUUGUAGAAACAAGGAUGAUCAAUGGAAACAGGACGAACCUGAGCUCAAUUUCGAUUCCCAUAGCAAAAUGUCUGAAUACUUACGUAAAUAAGGUAUUUUUGUUUUUUAUUUUUAACACAUUUUCUAUAUGUAGUCGGAUGAUAACACAUUUUUAUAUAAUUAGAAUAAGGUCAUCACGUAACAUAAUGUGGAAAAAUCUAAGGGUCUAAAUACUUUCCCGAAUGCAGUGUAGUUCUUUCCUUGCAGCAUUUGAUCACACGACUGGACAAUAAUCAAGAUAGGACUUGCAUUUCGGAGUGUGGUGUCAAAAAAGCAGAGCAUCUCUUUGUGUCAAAAAAGCAGAGCACCUCUCCACAUCUUUAUAACCAUUGAAUUUAUGUUUUUUGACCAUGACAGUUUACAAUCUAAGUUAACACCAAGUAAUUUAGUUUCCUCAACUUUUUCAACAGCCACACCAUUCAUUAACAGAUUCAGCUGAGGCCUACAACUUAGUUGUAUGUUCAUGACCAGUAUAUUACUGGUUUCAGUGACUUCAUUAGUUGUGGUUGCUUAUGUGUCAAUGGUUGAAUAAUUAGGAUACAUGGAGACACAUGCUUUGCUUAAUGCCAGUGGCUGGUCAUUGGUGGAAAUAGUAGAGGGCCUAGAGAGCUGCUCUGCGGUACACCACACUUUACGUGUUUGACAUUAGAGAAGCUUCCAUAAAAGAAAACCCUUUGAGUUGUAUUAGAUCUAUAGCUCUGAAUCCACAAUAUGGUAGAAGUUGAAAAGCCAUAACACACCAGUUAAAUUGGGUUCAUUAGGCAAUCAGAAUGUAUAGCCUUUCCUGUCAGCAGAGGGUUUGGCUGCUCUGCUUGGCAGGGUAGCCUAGUGGUUAGAGUGUUGGACUAGAGAUGAAUGAGAUGAAAGCAGUACUGGUUGAUGUUCCUAGGCCGUCAUUGAAAAUAAGAAUUUGUUCUUCACUGACUUGCCUAGUAAAAUAAAGGUAAAAAAAAAAAUGUUCAAGUCAGAACGAGCUUCCUGCUAACGUUAGGACAGCAGAGUCCCUGCCCAUCUUCCGAAAAUAACUGAAACCCUACCUCUUCAAGAAGUAUCUUAAGUAAAUCCCACGGCAAUGGGGCCUAUGCCAUCCCACUGGGCAUGCACUUGUUGAAUCAAUGUUGUUUCAAUGUCCUUUGUCAACCUAUUGUGAGGUGUAAUCUAUGUGAAAAACAAGUCAUCAACCAGUACUGCUUUCAUCUCAUUUUCAACCAGUGUUAUAAAAAUGGAAAUUAGGGUAAAGCUUCAACUUAAAUGCAAUGACUUAACCUGACUUACAGGUUGUUACAUCAAUCUAAUUCCAACAUAAUCAUCAGAACUAUGUAUACGUUGAAAUUGAAUUGAACAAUUUUCAAUCUUGUUGAAUUUUAUUUGACAUAGUUUCAAUGUUGAUAGUAAAAUGGUAUAUUUGAGUCAACGUCAUUGUUUCAAUGUCAUGCCAUCAACCUAAAUAAAGAGGUAUAUUGAAAUAAAAUGUCAAGCUACAGUCCAAUGUUUAGUGUUGAUUUUAGCAUGUUAAUCUUAGAGGGGCAAAUGGUGCCCACAAACUGUUAGGGCCUACAUAAAGCAGUCUCAACAGGAGCACUUUCUUUCCAGCACAAUGGAGUGAAUCCUUACCUGCUACACCUGGCUAUCAGCGCAAAGCUUUGUCUGACAGCGAAACAACAAGCAAAACAACAG